ensembl:lncRNA
GUCUGCAGGGAUAUCUGGCCUGAGCAGGGCAAUGGAGCCUUUUCUGUGGGAAGAUGGCCUUGGAGCCAGGAGAUUCCAUCUGGAACAGGUACAAGAGCGUAGGGACCAUUUCUACACAGUAGGUGGAGCUCUUGAGAAGUCUAACCUGCUGGAAUAAAUAAUGAAGUAGCCACGAUUGGGAGAAACAGAGAUGGUCACGCUGAAUCCCCAUGGCUGCAGAGAGAUUUUGUUGUCCGGUAUUAGGGAUGAGGAAACUGAGGCUGGAAGGAAUUGAGAUUCUUGCCCAACAUUCUACAGCCACAAUAGAAUAAGAAAGAAGCUGGAUGCCUACAAUCGACAGGAAGUCUGGGCUCUCAGUGUGCUGCUGAGUAAAGUGUUUCUCCAAAUGUAAGUGGAGAGCCCAGAUGUAAAGGAGAGAAGAGAGACCUCGAGGAGGAGGUGAACACACAAGGUGGAGGGGCCAGGAAGU